rnacentral:rRNA from 1 species
GUUGAACGCUGGCGGCAGGCCUAACACAUGCCAGUCGAGCGGAUGAAGGGAGCUUGCUCCUGGAUUCAGCGGCGGACGGGUGAGUAAUGCCUAGGAAUCUGCCUGGUAGUGGGGGAUAACGUCCGGAAACGGGCGCUAAUACCGCAUACGUCCUGUGGGAGAAAGUGGGGGAUCUUCGGACCUCACGCUAUCAGAUGAGCCUAGGUCGGAUUAGCUAGUUGGGGGGGUAAAGGCCUACCAAGGCGACGAUCCGUAACUGGUCUGAGAGGAUGAUCAGUCACACUGGAAAUGAGACACGGUCCAGACUCCUAAGGGAGGCAGCAGUGGGGAAUAUUGGACAAUGGGCGAAAGCCUGAUCCAGCCAUGCCGCGUGUGUGAAGAAGGUCUUCGGAUUGUAAAGCACUUUAAGUUGGGAGGAAGGGCAGUAAGUUAAUACCUUGCUGUUUUGACGUUACCAACAGAAUAAGCACCGGCUAACUUCGUG